AGGGCCUACGGACGCAGCAGUGGGGAAUAUUGCACAAUGGGCGCAAGCCUGAUGCAGCCACGCCGCGUGUAUGAAGAAGGCCUUCGGGUUGUAAAGUACUUUCAGCGGGGAGGAAGGGAGUAAAGUUAAUACCUUUGCUCGUUGACGUUACCCGCAGAAGAAGCACCGGCUAACUCCGUGCCAGCAGCCGCGGUAAUACGGAGGGUGCAAGCGUUAAUCGGAAUUACUGGGCGUAAAGCGCACGCAGGCGGCUUGUUAAGUCGGAUGUGAAAUCCCCGGGCUCAACCUGGGAGCUGCAUCUGAUA
rnacentral:rRNA from 1 species